GCAGGAUGUAAUUGGCUUGUUCCAACAAUUCUGCAGGCUGGCACAGAGCAGAAGCCUGAAUAUGAGGGAAAAACAGCACCUGCACCUGGUCCCUGCUAAAAGAAUGUUAAGAGAAUUUAUCCUCAAAAGCAGAGUGCAGAGGGGUUAUGCCAUUUGAGGUUCUCCCUAGAUGUUAGGUAAGCAUAUAAUAUUGUGCUUUAAUUUUAGGCCUUAUACUACACAUGUGCCAGAGGAAUUUGUCUUUAAAAUGUCACUGACCCCUCCAAGGUAGAUGUUAGGAUUGUAACCAUCAUGUCUCCCCCAGAGCUGUAUGUUGAAAUCCUAACCCCCAAUGCGAUGGCAUUAGAAGGUGAGAGCUUUUGGAGGUGGUAAAGCUCUGACUAGCAGUAGUGACUUAACAGAAGAGACUCCAGACAGACAGCUUGUCUCUUCUGAGUGAGGACACAGCAGGAAGAUGCUUUGUAUGUGGAAACAGACCUUCACCAGAUGCUGAGUCUGCUGCAACCUCAACCUUUGACUUCCAGGCUUUCUUUCCUGCCUUUCUACUGCCAACUGUGAAUGAGAAGUAAAAGGCUCUUCAGUUCUCAGGAAGAGCAGAAAUAUCCCAAGUAAUGCCCACAGAAAGGACACAGGGCAGAAGAAAAGUCAUGUGGAAGAGGCAGAGGCAGAGGGAAGAGUAGGACUCAGGCAGUGACAAAGAGGAAAUUAGUGUAAAAUGAUUUAAAAAAAAAAAAACCCAAGGACCAAGUGUUAAGAAAGGAAACUCCAUGGAAAAUCCAAACAAAGGUAAUACCAUGCGGGUGAAGAGAAGGGAAAAUGCGGCUCUGUUUUCACGUACCAACAUGCCAAGAUUUCAUCCCAAACCAGGCCUCCUGGUUUCAAUUUUGAUCUAAUCAUUUAGUCAUUGAAAUUCUGGUUAAUGUUCACCCAUACACAGACAGACACAGGAGACUGGCCCAGGGUAUGAGCGUCCUUCAGGUGCACCCAGCGAAGGGUGCUGAGCAGGGUACUAAGCUCAGGAGACCACACCGUGGCCAGCCCUGGGACGGAGGCUUCCUGCACCAUCCAAUGAAGAUUGCUUCUCCAUGGGCCAAAGUUUUAGUUAGGUGGCCGAGAUGACUGGCUCUGUUGAUUCGUGCACCGACAAUGAACAGACACGGGAUAACCUAGAGGCCAAGAAUCUGGCUGUGGAAUGUCUUCUUCCCUGAAAAAACAAGCAAGGAAACACACUCAGUGAGCCAACUGACUGUGACGAUGAUCUCUGCCACUGGCUGGAUUGUUUCUGUACAGUCAGUUGCCAGGAUGAGUGGUAUCAAUACCCUGCCCAGCCCAAGUUUUGAGUAGAGCUGCCAUAAGGCUCCUACUGCUGUGAUGGACUGUGUGGGGACCGCUGUUAAAAACCUGUUCAAGGGACAACGGACAGAGCACUUACUUCUGCUCCAUCUCAGCUCUCCUCCCAGAAAUUCCUCAGUCAUAUUUGCUCCUUACCAAUUACUUCAGGAAAUGUAUGUGGAGUUAUAGACAAGAGUGUUGAAAAGCAUGCUGAGUCUUCUAAGAAGGAGAGGAAAGAAACAUCCACUAGCGGCCUUCUGUAUUCCAGUCAACGCUAUUGCUUUCUCUAACUAGGUCUUCUCCAAAAUCCAAGUGAGGCCAUAAUAAUUCCACUGAAUAGGAGAUAUUCAGAGAUUUCUGAGGUUUGAAGAAAUUAUGUUGUUUGUCCAUUUUUUUUUCUACUGCUUUUUGCAUCUCUUCUCCUAAUUUAGGUGCCCUGAAUAUCUUAAGGACAUCUAUUGAUAAUCCUGCUGGGAUCACCAGGACAGGUGCUAAAGCCUGGAUGCCAGCCUUGGUAGGAUUACUUCAUGGACCAAGCAGGUUCUGCUUUCUGUUGAAAGGGGUGGGUGGUGGCAAUUAGCUAAUCAGACAAGCUGACUUCGACUAAUGGGUAAAUUUGCUAAUGACCAACCACUCCUAUGACUUACUGCCAUUACUGAGUUAGAGUUCAUCCCUUCUGAUGCUGGACUUCGGGGAUUGACAAAUGAUGGGAAUUCACACUGUGCUCAGCAUUCCUGAAACCACAUCCUAGCAACAGUUUCUAGACCUUCUCAAUGCCUGGAGACUGGGUGGACAGAAGCUGGCAACUCUGUAACAAAGAUCCUUAUACAUCCAACAACUACGUAAUAAGCAUCACUUUCUACCAAGCAUGCUUCUACACAUGAGAUGUCCAGGAAAAGAGACAGAGCCUACGUUUUCUCAUAUGUCAAAGGGAAAGAAUAAUACCUGACAGUGCUGUUGUGAAGAUAUAUUUCAGUGCUGCCUGAUUUCACUUAUUCUUUGUGGAAGUUGAAAUCUCAAGAUGCUCAGCCUUCACAGGUAGCUAAAAGAAACUUACAAUGAAUUUAACUUUUGCUUACUAUAUAGUAGACACUCAUAGAAAUUUUGAUUUACACAUUGAAUUGUGUAGACACAAUCUAAGGAGAGCAUAUGUGUAGGGAGCUACACACCUGGCACAGAGUAGGAGCUGCAUAAUGUUCAUGGAACACCUGAAUAAACAAAGAGGAUGACAGACCUGGGAAAUAAAUUGUGGCAAAACAACUUGCCUGUUCCCAAAUACACCCAAUUUUUUUUCACACUGUACUGUAACAGUUGUUUAAAAAAAUAAAGUGAA